GACGAACGCUGGCGGCGUGCUUAACACAUGCAAGUCGAACGGUAAGGCCCUUCGGGGUACACGAGUGGCGAACGGGUGAGUAACACGUGGGUGAUCUGCCCUGCACUUCGGGAUAAGCCUGGGAAACUGGGUCUAAUACCGGAUAGGACCACUGCCUGCAUGGGUGGUGGUGGAAAGCUUUUGCGGUGUGGGAUGGGCCCGCGGCCUAUCAGCUUGUUGGUGGGGUGAUGGCCUACCAAGGCGACGACGGGUAGCCGGCCUGAGAGGGUGACCGGCACCACUGGGGCUGAGGUACGGCCCAGACUCCUACGGGAGGCAGCAGUGGGGAAUAUUGCUCAAUGGGCGCAAGCCUGAUGCAGCGACGCCGCGUGAGGGAUGACGGCCUUCGGGUUGUAAACCUCUUUCAGCACCGACGAAGCGCAAGUGACGGUAGGUGCAGAAGAAGGACCGGCCAACUACGUGCCAGCAGCCGCAGUAA
rnacentral:rRNA from 1 species